rnacentral:rRNA from 1 species
GCUGUCCAGUAUAGCCCCUUUGGGGAAACUGCGGAUGGCUCAUUAAAUCGGUUGGAAUCUACAUGAACACCCCCAGUACGUGGAUAACCACGGAAAAUCUGCGGCUAAUACAUGCUUUACUGUGCGGUCUUCCUGAUCGUACUGCAUACAUUAGUUCCAAAAUCAACUUUAUUUGGGUGAUUCAUGAUGUCUAGGCGAAUCGUAUGACCUUGUGUCGACGAUGAUUCAUUCGACUUUCCGCCCUAUCAACUUUGGAUGGUAGUGUAGUGGACUACCAUGGUUGUAACGGGUGACGGGGAAUUAGGGUUCGAUUCCGGAGAGGGAGCCUGAGAGAUGGCUACUACUUCCAAGGAAGGCAGCAGGCGCGCAAAUUACCCUAAUGGUCAAAGACCGAGGUAGUGACAAUAAAAUAUCGAUGUUGGUGAUUCGUCAUUGGCAAUCGAAUUGAACUGAAGUUAAAUCUCUCUAUGAAUACCAAUU